CUUUGGGAGGUAAUUAGGUUUAAAUGAGUUCAUGAAGAUGAAGCCCCCAUGCUGGGAUUAGUACUUAUAAAAACAGAAGAGACACCAGAGUUUCCUUUCUCUGCCAUGUGAGGAUACAGUGACAAGGAGGUCUUCUGCAAGCUGGGGAGGAAACCCUCAACAAGAACUGAAUCUUUCAGCACCUUGAUCUUGGACUUUACAGCCUCCAGAACUGUGAGAGGUGGCGAACAGAUAACCUAAAGUUGCAAGUAGCUAGCAAGGACUUCGAUGAAGCAAAGGAUGACGUCCCUGGGUGGGCUUGAACCACCAACCUUUCGGUUAAAAGCCGAACGCGCUAACCGAUUGCGCCACAGAGACGUGAGAGCGCAUUCCUCAUAACUCGUUUCCUGAUUCAAGAAAUUGCUUUUCAACCUCUGGCUGGGGACAUCCUUAGAUUCUCAUAUUCCGGAAGCCGAAGGUGCGCGCGGGAGACACUGAAGCCAAGAGUUGGUGUCAUCGGGCACAUUUGGACAUCGAUAGAACGUUUGGGACUCAGCUAGGGGACUCUGACUGCCGAACGCCAGAUCUGUGGCCUUCCCACCUGCUCCCCGCCUCAACAGCCGCCCGGCUCCAGGUGACGACCGCAGCCUCUCGGGCUGAAGUCCACGUUACUAUUCUUAGCUUCGCUCGCCGUGAGUCCCCACUUGACCCUGUGGGCGCGCAUGCGAAGGACACGAACCAGCUGUGCCCCCACUGCGCUGCCCACGUUCUGCGCCUCUCUCUAGAUGUGGACUCCGACUGGCAAGACCUCAGAACUGCUCGCGAUGCAGCCCGCCCUCCAGGGCAGGGCCUCGCACCUAGUAGGCACUCAAUAAAUGCCCGGUGAAGGAUGCAUUCUGACGCAGGGUCCUAGGCAACCAAGAAUUCCAGUGUGUGCUUUAAGCUUUUAGGCCUACGAGUAACUCCGGAAACGGAAGGCUGGAAAGGUUUCUCAAAGCCGGAAGCGCUUUUAUUCCUGGAGCUGACUGAGAACAAAGCAAAAGUCUUGACUUUAGACACGUGCGCCCCGGGACCGAGCUGAGUUCCCCACCCUGAACUGCGACUCAGCCUCGGUCUGGGGUCGUCCGUCCUGAGGGGUUGAAUAGGGAAAGCUGAAGAAGAGGAGAAGAAAGCGAGUGGGAAUGGAGGCAGCCCAGUGAGGGACGGGGACAGAGCGAGCUAGUGCUCUGGCCACUGAAGAAAAAGGCGAAAAGAAAACGGAAAAUGCCUAUUUUCGUUAAAUAACUUUGAUUACCCUCCCCCGCCUCCUCUUUGUCGGCCACCGCGCUGACCAUGAUUGUGUACUGUUGGAUGCUCUCGAAUCGGAAUGACUGAGGUUCCUCUUUGAAAUGCUUGGUUAAAGACCGCAACGCCGUGAGAUGUCACCGGAGUCCAGACCUCGGAGCAGGUGGCGAGGCGCCCCCGGCCCCGAGCGGUAGGGGGCGCACAAUCCCCUGCUCACCGCUGGAGGGUGACACAGGACUCCGACUCCGCCCCAGCCCUCCGAGGCUGGGAGUCGGCUGCGCGCCUCCUCUCCCCCUUCCCCUGCGCCCUGUGCCUUGCGGAGGAAUGCUGAAGAAUGUUAUCCAACCACUUGUACUGUCAGGUAGAUGCACUGUCAGAAGCAACCGUAGAGAGAUACUGAUAAAAAUUCUGAAGAACAGAACGUCUGAGUAAGCUUAAUCUCAUUCCUGGAUCAGAUUGAGUAAUGCUGACUGUUUACUAAAGCCCCACAGAAGAGGUUGAGGAUGCGCGGGGCUGAAGCACCGAAAGUGCACUUGGCGCUGCCUGAAUUCUCCCUUGUGACUGAAGACCUUGGAGAAAAGCAUUCACGAUUGUCGUGGAAAGUUAGAAAAUUCCAGUAACAGGACUAAGGAGGUGGAUCCGGCACUGAAAAGAAUCCAGGACUUCCACCUACAGCUAUAGUAUAGUAAUGCCACCAGUUUAGUCUUCUUGCUGUAAACAACCAUGAAAAUAGACAAAAUAUGUGAAGCACCUGUUAUAGACACUGGACAGAGGCAGUGCAAGACUGUGAUUGCCUAAGAGAGGGCUGCGGAAAUGACCUGAUGGUGGUAUAGCAAGCUGGAAUCGCAGCAGAGCAUGGUGUUCACACGGAGCUAAGGUAGAUAUCAGAGGACAGCUGAAGCAACUGGAAUCUGCAGAGAACCAGAAAGGAGAAGACAGUUUACAGGCUAGUUUUCAGAAAUCCAUACUGGGUCUCCUGACAGUUAUUUGCUGAGUGCUGGGCUGCUCAUGUGUGGAGAGCUACUACCAAGGCUUACCGGACAACAGAUGCUACAGGAUGGAAAACAGAACAGAGAUCUUAGAAGUCUCUGCUGGCAACAUUGGAAUUCAGGCUUUGUUAACGACUCUUUACCACCCUGAGCAUCCAAUUGAUACCCCAGAAAGGCUGCUUAAGGAGUAAAGACCACAACCUAGUGUGAGGCCUACUCUGGAUCCUCCCUAAAAAAGGAUAAAACAAAGACCUGACAAGAUUAGCAGGGUUUGGACGUUGAGUCACACCAAAGAGGGCUUUGGGAAACACCUUGGACUUUCCUCAGAUCUACUGAGAAACAAACCAUUAAUCCAGUCCUACACAAGUUCAAGGUCACUGGCCAGUAAUCAAAGUGCUUAAGUAGAACAAAAGUUGAUACUCUUUGGAGAAAGAUAUCAGAAUCCAGAGUCUCUACAUUGCAUCAUUCAAAGUGUUCAGUAAACAAUAAAAAAUACUAAACAUGCAAAGAAACAGAAAAAUGUGACCCAUUCAAUACCUAUUUUUAAAAAGGAAAACAAAGCAGUUAAAAGAAACCAACUCCAAGAAGAUGUCUCAGAUGUUGGAUUUAGCAUACUUUAAAGCAGGGUUGCAGAGUAUGUAUGGUUCAGCAACAUGGGUUCCACUCAUCAUGGCUAAUCUAGCUACAAUCACUAGUGGUGCCCAAACAGUCAACAGCAGAGAACAACUCAGCCCCUGAUAUGACAGCAGUCCCUAAAUCGUUGAAUAAAGCCAAUUAGAUC